rnacentral:rRNA from 1 species
GACGAACGCUGGCGGCGUGCUUAACACAUGCCAGUCGAACGGUGAAGCGCCUUCCUUUUUGGUGGGUGUGGAUGAGUGGCGAACGGGUGAGUAACACGUGAGUAACCUGCCCCCUUCUUCUGGAUAACCGCAUGAAAGUGUGGCUAAUACGGGAUAUUCUGGGUCUGUCGCAUGAUGGGUCUGGGAAAGAUAUUGUUUCGGUGGGGGAUGGGCUCGCGGCCUAUCAGCUUGUUGGUGGGGUGAGGGCCUACCAAGGCGGUGGCGGGUAGCCGGCCUGAGAGGGUUGACGCGCUCACUGGGGCGGAGGCACGGCCCAGACUCCUACGGGACGCAGCAGUGGAGAAUAUUGCACAAUGGGCUCAAGCCUGAUGCAGCGACGCCGCGUGAGGGAUGGAGGCCUUCGGGUUGUGAACCUCUUUCGCCAGUGAAGCAGGCCUGCCUCGUUUGUGGGUGGGUUGACGGUAGCUGGAUAAGAAGCGCCGGCUAACUACGUG